GACGAACCGUGCGAACGUUAUUCGGAAUCACUGGGCUUAAAGCGCGUGUAGGCGGGUGGGAGCAUCGGCCACUGAAAGCCCCCGGCUCAACCGGGGAAGGGGUGCCGAGAUGUCCCGCCUGGAGGGGCGUAGGGGGACCUGGAACUUCCGGUGGAGCGGUGAAAUGCGUUGAGAUCGGAAGGAACGCCCGUGGCGAAAGCGAGGUCCUGGACGUCAACUGACGCUGAGACGCGAAAGCUAGGGGAGCAAACGGG
rnacentral:rRNA from 1 species